rnacentral:rRNA from 1 species
UACGAAGGUGGCAAGCGUUGUUCGGAUUUACUGGGCGUACAGGGUGCGUAGGCGGUUCGGUAAGCCCUCCGUGAAAGCUCUAGGCUUAACCUAGAAAGUGCGGAGGGGACUGCCGGGCUAGAGGACGGGAGAGGAGCGCGGAAUUCCCGGUGUAGCGGUGAAAUGCGUAGAGAUCGGGAGGAAGGCCGGUGGCGAAGGCGGCGCUCUGGAACGUUUCUGACGCUGAGGCACGAAAGCGUGGGGAGCAAACAGG